rnacentral:lncRNA from 1 species
CAUAAUUUUUUAUCAAUACAUUUGUAUUAAUUUUAUUCAUAAUUUCUAUUCGCGUGUAUAAAUUAUGUUCUGCAAUACCGACUAAAGUAUUUUAUCAAGUUUUUUCGCUUAAUCGAUAAAUUAUCUACAGAGGGAGGGAGAAAAAAUAUAAAUUGACAAAGAAAAAUAAUUCGUUUGGUUGAAGGCGCCAUCAGUAGACAAUUUUGGAAUUAUUAUACAUUCGUAAGAACCAUUUGUAAUAUGUAUCGCAUAUCUAUAUGCUUGUCGUAAACUUAUAAUUGCCAAUAUUCGAAAUGAGUUUCAUAUUCGCGAUCGAGUUGAGAGACGAGAAGGUAAACGAGAUCGUUCUUGAUAGGAAUAAAUGAAACAAAUAUAAAACGUUACGUUACGUUAGGUAGAAAAGCCGGAAGAGAAACAAUGAACGAUUAGUAUGGAAAUCGUUUAGAGGCUAUAAAAAUGAGCAUGGAAGAAUACACUGUGCGCGAACAGCCACUCAACGUCGAAUACAAAGCCAAGUUCUUCGUUCCUUCUUAGACUUCUAUAACGACGUUUCUUCGACAAGACAAGCUAACCAAAAGAGAAAGAGAGAGAAAAUGGAUACAAAAAUAAAUACAAUUCAAGAAGAAGACGAUAAUGGCGACACGAUUUCUUCAACUUCUUUCUUUUCUUUCGUUGGUUUCAUAAAAAGAAAAAAAAAGAAAAAAAUUAGAAGAUCUUGAAAAAAACAUGGAAGAAUCAUCCAAGUAAUAACACGUUGCUUAGCUACGAUUAUUUCUAAUACAUAUAUGUUACGUC